AAGGGACCAUCACAAUGUAAAGCACAUCAAACACAGAAACUCGCAAUAUGAGUAACAUUUUUUCUCUCGUAAUGAUUGAGAGAACCUUGGCAUAAUGAUAUCGGACAAAAAUACUCCCCAUUCUCCAGAGGGCGCAUGACCUCUCAUCAUGUUAAUUCUCUUCUUCCCCGUUAACAACCAGAACAUGCAGAUGCUGCUGAUUCUUGAUAUUUCUUCCCUAAUUUAUAAUCACAACACCAUUUUCUCUCCUAACUCCUCCCUUCCUCCUUCUCUAAUUGGUGGACGAUUGGCGGACGAUUCCGACCGCCACGACCACCGCCAAGACAGGACGACCCAUUUUGUGAAUCUAAUUGUUGUAGCUGCUGCCAUUAAUCGCUGUUCAUCCUUCAAUCUUCCUCCAAUUUCAAUUUCGUAGCUGCUGCCAUUAAUUGCUCAUUUGGAUUGGAGGGAUGGAGAUUGUUCUGUGGAACCUUUUUAGACAACUAGUGUGCAUGGUGCGGAUAUAACGGGGCAUUUUCUUCGCCCCCUUCUCACGCUCACCAGAUAACGUUCAAUUCAUAUAGGUAGCAGAAACUAAUUAGUUCUGUACUAGGUUACUGUUAUAAAUUUUUUGGGUAACAUGUGUCAAGCAUAUAAUCAUACCAUUUAAGAAUUGAGGUUACUAAAAUUGUCAAUUAUCAUUGAUAGGCAUGGAUUAUGAUAAAUUUAAAACCCAGCAGAAAGAGCAUACUAAUCAUAUGGAUGCUCUUGAAGAAAACUAUCUAUACGAUCGCCGGGUCAUGAAUUUGCUCUCUAAAGACAUUAGAGAGGAGAUGGAAAAAUUUCAGUGUAAGCAUUCCAAAAACUUAGAAGCUUUGAUGCAAGAAAAUGAGGAAGGGCGGUCAGUGUUGUCAGAGAAAGAAAUGUUGGAUAUGGAAAGGGAGAAAAUGGAUAAAACCUUCAAAAAGCUGAAAAUUUGUAGAAUGGAGAGAGAACCGAAGUUGGAGCGAAUGAAGGACCAUAUUUCAGAGCUAGAAACGGGUGUGAAAACGGUAAACAUGGAUAAUGAAGUUAUGAUCAGAGAUUUAUCCGAAAAGAUUGAAAACUUGAAGUAGAGGAGGGCUGAGGCUGCAUGGAUAUGGUGGAGUGUUCAAGUCAUGACUACGUUACUUUUAAUUACAUUUUAAUUGAAUUUAUAUGUAUUUUCUGUAUUUUUCAAUUUAUAGUCUUUGAUUUUGAACAAUGAUUACGAGUUGUUUAGUUUUUUUAACCAUGAGCAUGGUCUAAUAAAUAGUUUCUGUAUCACCAGCUUUUUUUUCC